rnacentral:rRNA from 1 species
AACUCUGAUCCAGCCAUGCCGCGUGCAGGAAGACGGUCCUAUGGAUUGUAAACUGCUUUUGUACGGGAAGAAACACUCCCCCGUGUGGGAGCUUGACGGUACCGUAAGAAUAAGGAUCGGCUAACUCCGUGCCAGCAGCCGCGGUAAUACGGAGGAUCCAAGCGUUUUCCGGAAUCAUUGGGUUUAAAGGGUCCGUAGGCGGCCUUAUAAGUCAGUGGUGAAAUCUCCUAGCUCAACUAGGAAACUGCCAUUGAAACUGUAGGGCUUGAAUUAUUAGGAAGUAACUAGAAUAUGUAGUGUAGCGGUGAAAUGCUUAGAUAUUACAUGGAAUACCAAUUGCGAAGGCAGGUUACUAACCUAAUGGAUUGACGCUGAUGGACGAAAGCGUGGGUAGCGAACAGGAUUAGAUACCCUGGUAGUCCACGCCGUAAACGAUGGAUACUAGCUGUUCGGAGCAAUCUGAGUGGCUAAGCGAAAGUGAUAAGUAUCCCACC